GCCCCUGUAGCUUAAUGGAUAAAGCUGCGGACUUCUAAGCCGUCGAUCUAGGUUCGAUUCCUGGCAGGGGUA
rnacentral:tRNA from 1 species